rnacentral:lncRNA from 1 species
UUUCUCUGCCCUGAUCACUCAUCUUGUAUCCAAGAAAGGUAAUUGCACUAUUUAUGAACAAAGAAGCUGAGUAGAUAAAAGCAAGGAUGAAACUUGUCUUCCCCAUGGUAUGAGGUGAAUUUUAAUUCAAUAUGCAUCUUUUUCAAAUCCAAGUUGUUGAUAGAAGGCUCCAUAAAUCUCAAGUGACCUAUCUGAAAUUCAAACUUCAAUGUGUAAAGCUAGAUGAACCUACACUUAGAAUAAUGAAAAACCACAUCCAUGAUUUGCAUAAAUUAAGAGGCUUCCACCAUAAAAAAGAUGGAUGCAUUAGAAAUAAAGUAGUUUACUUGGCCACAUGGAGUAAUACAGUUUAACAAUUCAAUCACUGACAACUUCUGCAGGCACACAAAAGUAAAAUGAGAGAUGUUUCCAGAGACAUGUUCAAAUUCCAGGGGAGAGAUUCUUUCACAACGGAUAUAUCUUAGAGAAUCAAGAGAGGGAUAUGCUCAAUGAGAGAUGUUUCCAAGGACAUGCUCAAUUUCCAGGGGAGAGAUUCUUUCACAGCUUAUAUGCCUUAGAGAAAGUCUCAAGAGGGGGAUAAGCUGAAACAUUAUAUCAAAAUAGAAAGUAGUGAGCAAAGUAAAAGCAUUCUUAUUUGUCCUUCCACUGCACGAAAGCUCCCUUUAGCAACCUAACUUCUAUAAUUUAAGUCAACAAACAAAGGAAGAUCAAUAUCGAGAAACAAAAAGCGUAUGAAUAUCAAAUUACAGUAAAAGGCUGUAAUCGGAUGGAUACAUUUUUGUGUUAAAAUUAACUUAUGGCAUAAAAUGGUAGCAUACAACACACUUAACAAUGAUAGAGAAGUUUAAUAGUACUAUGUGGUAUGAGCCUAAGAGAAAAGGAACCAUUCAAAAUGAGCAAAGGAAUUAUGACAUAAAAUGGUACGCUAAAGUGGUAGUCUACUUAUCAACAUUACUCAAUUUAUGAUUUUCCUCAUGGGUCUAUCUACUUACUCUAUCUCUUGACUUUUCUUUUAAUCGAUCUAUCUCCCUUUCCUUCUCUUUAGUUUUAUCUUUCCCCUUGUCCUUCUCCCCAUCUCUAUAGCUUACCCUCUUCUUUUAACUAUCUGUAUGCUUCUCUCGCUCUCUUUCCUUUGCCUUAUCCCUAUCCCUUUCAUUCAAAUAAACCAACACCUGAAUUAUAGCAAAUACUACUAAUUAAGUAUAGAAACAAACAUAUCUCACACUGCAAAAAAAUUAAAAAACUUAAUGAGCCGAGCUAAAGCAAAAGCUCCAUCAUACCGAACCUCCUCAUCUCUCUUUUCAUGGCAGUCUACUUUAUCAUCAACAUUACUCAAUUUAUG